rnacentral:rRNA from 1 species
UGCGGAGGAAAAGAAACCAACAGGGAUUGCCCUAGUAACGGCGAGUGAAGCGGCAACAGCUCAAAUUUGAAAGCUAGCCUUCGGGUUCGCAUUGUAAUUUGUAGAGGAUGAUUUGGGGAAGCCGCCUGUCUAAGUUCCUUGGAACAGGACGUCAUAGAGGGUGAGAAUCCCGUAUGUGACAGGAAAUGGCACCCUAUGUAAAUCUCCUUCGACGAGUCGAGUUGUUUGGGAAUGCAGCUCUAAAUGGGAGGUAAAUUUCUUCUAAAGCUAAAUAUUGGCGAGAGACCGAUAGCGCACAAGUAGAGUGAUCGAAAGAUGAAAAGCACUUUGGAAAGAGAGUUAAAAAGCACGUGAAAUUGUUGAAAGGGAAGCGCUUGCAAUCAGACUUGUUUAAACUGUUCGGCCGGUCUUCUGACCGGUUUACUCAGUUUGGACAGGCCAGCAUCAGUUUCGGCGGCCGGAUAAAGGCUCUGGGAAUGUGGCCUCCACUUCGGUGGAGGUGUUAUAGCCCAGGGUGUAAUACGGCCAGCCGGGACUGAGGUCCGCGCUUCGGCUAGGAUGCUGGCGUAAUGGUUGUAAGCGACCCGUCUUGAAA